rnacentral:rRNA from 1 species
UGGGGAAUAUUGGACAAUGGGGGCAACCCUGAUCCAGCAAUGCCGCGUGUGUGAAGAAGGUUUUCGGAUUGUAAAGCACUUUCGGCGGGGACGAUGAUGACGGUACCCGCAGAAGAAGCCCCGGCUAACUUCGUGCCAGCAGCCGCGGUAAUACGAAGGGGGCUAGCGUUGCUCGGAAUGACUGGGCGUAAAGGGCGUGUAGGCGGUUUGUACAGUCAGAUGUGAAAUCCCCGGGCUUAACCUGGGAGCUGCAUUUGAGACGUGCAGACUAGAGUGUGAGAGAGGGUUGUGGAAUUCCCAGUGUAGAGGUGAAAUUCGUAGAUAUUGGGAAGAACACCGGUGGCGAAGGCGGCAACCUGGCUCAUUACUGACGCUGAGGCGCGAAAGCGUGGGGAGCAAACAGGAUUAGAUACCCUGGUAGUCCACGCUGUAAACGAUGUGUGCUGGAUGUUGGGUAACUUAGUUAUUCAGUGUCGUAGCUAACGCGAUAAGCACACCGCCUGGGGAGUACGGCCGCAAGGUUGAAAACUCUAAAAGUGAAUUGAC